rnacentral:misc_RNA from 1 species
AACGCACCUUGCACUCUUUGGUAUUCCGAAGAGUAUGUCUGUUUGAGUGUCAUGAAACUCUCAACCCCCUUGUUUUGUAAUGAAACGAGUUGUGGGCUUGGAUUAUGGCUGUUGCCGGCUUUGAUUAGUCGACUCGGCUGAAAUACACGAGCUGCCCCGGUGUUCUCUUUCGAAGAAACAAACGGCUUGACUCGGCGUAAUAACAUAUUUCGCUGAGGACGUUACAUUCUUAUGUUAAGAUUACAAUGGUGGUGCUUCUAAUGCGUCUGUUCAGUCAGACACCUUAAGCUUUAGACCUCAAAUCAGUCAGGACUACCCGCUGAACUUAA